CUUGAGCUCCGGCUCACUAAUAAUAGCAUCAUCCAGGCCGGCUCAGAGCUGCGGGGACUGCAGGAUGACAUCACCCAGAUGGAAGCAGAAGGGAUGGGCAAACCGCAAGGUCCCAAGGGCUGAUGAACACUGGAAGCUGCUUGAGAAAACCCAGGCUGGAGUGCAGCAGUGCAAUCUCAGUUCACUACAACCUCUGCCUCCCAGGUUCAAGAGAUCCUCCCACCUCAACCUCUUGAGUAGCUGGGACUACCAGAUAGAAGAAGAAACUGGGACUCAGAGAAAUUAUAUACUUUGCUCAGAGUCAUCCACGUGGUAAUGGACAGACCUGUACUUCCUGUCUUUUCAGACUUAGGUUGGACUUAUUUUGAAUCAAAGCAAGUCCUGUGAGAAAGGAAGUAUUCAAUUCACUCCAUCUAGUAAAUGUCUAUUCUCUUUCUACUUUCUCACAUUAUCCAUUUUACCUACCUUCUCAGCAAUUGCACAGUAGUAGAGAAAAAAUGCCUUCUUGCCCUUAAUUGAAAGAAUACAGAAUGUUCUAAAACUUCAACAAGUUUGAAAUUUCUACAUUUGAAAACUCUCAACUAAAAUGUGCUGUUAUUUCUACAGGCUUCUGCCCUCUACAAGCCAAGAGGAAUGUCUGGAAAUGAGAGAAUAGACUACCCUGAAUAUUAAAUUUCUAUUUUUAAAAAGUACUAAAAACUGAGAAACACCAUGUACCAAAACUUCACCAAAAUAAAGAAAACAUAAAUUAGAGAAGUGAACA
rnacentral:lncRNA from 13 species